rnacentral:rRNA from 1 species
AUUGAACGCUGGCGGCAUGCCUUACACAUGCAAGUCGAACGGCAGCACGGGGGCAACCCUGGUGGCGAGUGGCGAACGGGUGAGUAACACAUCGGAACGUGCCCAGUAGUGGGGGAUAGCUCGGCGAAAGCCGGAUUAAUACCGCAUACGACCUACGGGUGAAAGCGGGGGAUCGCAAGACCUCGCGCUAUUGGAGCGGCCGAUGUCAGAUUAGGUUGUUGGUGGGGUAAAGGCCACCAAGCCGACGAUCUGUAGCUGGUCUGAGAGGACGACCAGCCACACUGGGACUGAGACACGGCCCAGACUCCUACGGGAGGCAGCAGUGGGGAAUUUUGGACAAUGGGCGCAAGCCUGAUCCAGCCAUGCCGCGUGCGGGAAGAAGGCC